rnacentral:lncRNA from 1 species
ACUUCUUGGGUGCUACAGAGCAGUCUGCCCUCUCCAGAGUUAGUAAAUAGCUAUUCUAGGUCAAUGAACAAUAGCCUGAUGGCUUUAAGAGUUAAUCCUCCACAUGCUUCCCAUACUCCUCUGAGUCAUUAAUUAAACCGGCAGCACCUGGCUUAGUAUUUAUAAAAUACUUUACACAUCUGAGAGGGAAGUAAAAACUGAGAGCUCUGUGGAUCCAUUUCUAUUGUUAAGCAUUACUUAAAGUACUAGGGCUUCACUUGGUAACUUCCAGACAGCUCUUGCAUGAAAUCCCAAAUCCAAGUCACUGGCAUUUUUGCUCACAAUAACUUAUGUUUAUAACUCAGUACCCCGAGUAACUUUUUUUAGGGCAAGUCUGCAUAUUAUAGUGUAUCACACAUCUCAAGGCCUCUUUCCAAACACUGUUUUGACACAGUGUGUUAACAGUGAAUUAUUCAUUGUUACCUGCAUGAAGGACUAAUGCUCAGAGUGGCUGGGAACAGCUUACCAGUUGUUGGCUCAAUUGUGCAGCUCUAUUUAAAGCUCUAGUGGGUAAUUCAGUUGAUGGCAAACUUCACUUUGACACAGUGCCAUAGCACAUCCAUUAGUGCCCUCACUAGAGUACAAACAUCUGCUUGCUUUUAUUGUCCAUGUGUUACUUAAGAUAGUCUGCUUCUUUAUGACGUAAAUCACUGGAAUCCACUGACUAUUUUUAAAGACUCUUUUAGUGCUUCCUUGAAAUGAUCACUCUAUAGUUGUUUAAUAGAUAAUUGGCCCUUUAGGUACACAAAAAUUACAAAGAUGAAAUUUUCUACUCUUCUGACCUUUUCCAGAGAUGGCGUUAUGACUAAAGUACCCUGGCUUGUUGUAAGAUUCUGUCUUUGAGGGUUGUGUGAUUCAUAGGUUCACAUCAGCACAGCAUGUUAAAAGAAACUGCAUUUCUGGCUAAUUGACCCAAGGGAACUUGCUUGUUUUCUUUUGUUCACUGACCAGAGUUGUGUGCGUUUGCUUCUCUCAGUUCACCUUGAAAGGCUUUGCUAUCGACUUCUUUACGUAUUUAUCUUGUCCUGACAGACUGCUGAGCAAUUUGCUUGCCCUCUAGUUUAUUCACGUGUCCAGUACAGAUAAGUUUAGUGGCAGCCAGCUCUAUCAUUUUCAUUCCAAUGGACUGGCUGUAUUCCAGAGUCCCUUUCAUCAGCAAUUUUGCCUUACCUUUUGGCUAGUAAAGGCCUAAAGCUAUAGGAUUCCAUGAUACAAAAGCUCUAACAUAUGAAAAACAAACACCGUCAAAUAUGAUCAAAAAUCUGAGCAAGGAUUGAUCUUAGGUGUAAUGAAUACUAAUAUGACUCUCCUCAGCCCAAUAAUUAGACAAUCUCGGGAGGCCAUGACCAUGCAUACUUGGUCUUAUAAGUUGUAAAAUAGUCCACAAUAAUCCAUCUGGAAGAGCACUUUCAUAUUACACCAUAAAAUGGAGCUCUUACUCAGGUCCUAGGAUUGCAAGGAGCCAGGAAGUUGCCAGGAAUUUCCUAAGGGAAGAAUUUUGGAAGAUGAUAAUUUGAGGAUUGUGAAAGUUCUGAGACUUGCCAGAGAAUUAAGACAAGGACUAAUUGGUUGAUUCUGAGAGUGCAGAGAGAAUAUUGGUGGCUAUGUGAGGUUGCAAUGAUUUCUUUCCCCAUGGCAUCUAUGUGUUUCUUGUUCUCUCUGAAUAUUGAAUUCAUGAGAAUGGAAAAGAGAAAAAGAUUGUGUCCCAAAGGGAAACAUUUAGAGAGCUGGGGGAAAAGAGCACCUACUACCUCAUGACUGAGAAAGGAGAGAAUGCAAUGCAGAGACCUGAAGUCGCUAACUGCAAAUAAAAUUAACAAUUCUUCUGUACUGUUUAAGACAAAGAUUUUGUGUUCCAUAAGUAACAAAUAGAGGGGCAUGAAUAAAGAAGAGUCUCAUAGUAAAUUUGAAUUCAAACUUAUUUCAUCUGGAGCUGACAAAGGCUCAGUGGGUUUAAAUUCCUUACCACCAAGCCUGACAACCUGAGAUGGAUUCUUGGACCUACAUUGUGGAAGGUGAGAACUGACUCAUGUAGGGUUGUCAUCUGAUUCAGACAAACUCACUAAGGCACAAUAUAUGUGUCCAUACCUAUAUGCAUGUGUGAAUGUGUGCAGAAGCACACAUGCAUGUACACACAUACACACACACACACACACACACACACACACACACACACACACACAUUUUCCCAUUCCAGUCAGAGGAAAGUGUAAGAAAGUAACUUACCUUGUUUUCAUAGUCUGUAGUUUGCCACAGCCACCAUCACUAGCUGUUUAAUGCCCUCUAAUGUUGCACAGAAAUACUUAGAAGUACGGCCAUAUUUAGUGCUACAAAAACAUAACUCAGUAGUCACUUGCAAGCUGGAUGGGAAACAUUUAAUCCCCUGGCCUUGAUGGCUUUUAACAUCAUCUUCUCCAAGGCACAUGGUAAGACUAAAUUAGAAGUAUACACAAUACUCUAAGCAGAGUAAGUACUUGGUGAGUCCUGGCUAAUAUUGUCUCUGAGCACAGAGAGAGUCAUUGCCCAGUGUUGGAUGCCCCAAGAAGUUGUCAUUCUUGACAAAGCAGGCAAAAUAUCCCACCUCUAGGAUAGAAAAAGUCCAUUGAACUUGUUAAUAGGCCUUUUACUCUAAAUCACUCAGGAUUGUUUAGGCAUCCUUCAGAGACCUGUAGAUUUACGUCAGACAUAAGAUGCCCAUUGACAUAGCCAAGGAAAUGGAUUGAUGAUAAAUAGAAGCAAUGACUACUAAAGAGAAAGGCAAACAUUUGUUUUAUAUCACUCUGUUCAUUUAACUCAGAAUGAACAGCUUUAUACCUUCAAAGAAGUUUCCUAUACUAGACCUGACUGAAGUUUUACAUAUAAAAUAUUUUGCAAAUGAAUUUAAGCUAUUGCUACUAAAAUAUUUAGUGAUUUCAGGCAAUCAUUCUAACAUAUGUUGGCUCAAAACCGACUUUUAAAAGUUUUGCCUGGAGACAAAUUCUCUGU